CGUGUAGGCGGCUUGGUAAGUCAGAUGUGAAAGCCCUGGGCUCAACCCGGGAAGUGCAUUUGAAACUGUCAGGCUCGAGUAGGGGAGAGGGAAGUGGAAUUCCUGGUGUAGAGGUGAAAUUCGUAGAUAUCAGGAGGAACACCGGUGGCGAAGGCGACUUCCUGGCCCUAUACUGACGCUGAGACGCGAGAACGUGGGUAGCAAACA
rnacentral:rRNA from 1 species